rnacentral:rRNA from 1 species
UACGGAGGGUGCGAGCGUUGUCCGGAAUCAUUGGGCGUAAAGGGCGCGUAGGUGGCCCGGUCAGUUCGUGGUGAAAGCGCGGGGCUCAACCCUGCGUCGGCCAUGAAUACUGCCGCGGCUGGAGCACUGUAGAGGCAGGCGGAAUUCCGCGUGUAGCAGUGAAAUGCGUAGAUAUGCGGAGGAACACCGAUGGCGAAGGCAAUCCCCUGGACCUGUACUGACGCUCAUGCACGAAAGCGUGGGGAGCAAACAGG